GACGAACGCUGGCGGCGUGCUUAACACAUGCAAGUCGAGCGGUAAGGCCCUUUCGGGGGUACACGAGCGGCGAACGGGUGAGUAACACGUGGGUGACCUGCCCUCAGCUCUGGGAUAAGCCUGGGAAACUGGGUCUAAUACUGGAUAUGACUCCACGGUGCAUGUCGUGGGGUGGAAAGCCUUGUGCGGCUGAGGAUGGGCCCGCGGCCUAUCAGCUUGUUGGUGGGGGAUGGCCUACCAAGGCGACGACGGGUAGCCGGCCUGAGAGGGCGACCGGCCACACUGGGACUGAGACACGGCCCAGACUCCUACGGGAGGGCAGCAGUGGGGAAUCUUGCGCAAUGGGCGAAAGCCUGACGCAGCGACGCCGCGUGA
rnacentral:rRNA from 1 species